UACAGUUAAAUUUAAUGUAGUAGGAAAUUAUAAACGUAGAUGAAACAAAGUGGACGUCUACCGCACCUUGAACACUAUGUCGACCAAAAAGACUAAAACAUCUCCGGUUACGGCUGUUUAUACGUUCCAGUUUGGGUCUCAGAGUGAUGAACCACCGACAGACCGGGAUGAGGCCUCUUCUCAGGGCCGCAGGGACAGGCGCGGGAACAAACGUGGGGACGACCCCGAAAAAAGGCGAUUCCUCUUAAAAGUCAAAUUACCAAAGCUCCAGAAACGGUGUUUGUCCAAGAAGGCUGAAACACCAAAGAGCUGGACGUUUAAAACCAGCGAAAAUAAAACUAAGACCAGUCUGAAUCUGAGAGGAGAAAAUCUGGGUAAAGUCCGUACAUUAAGAAUAGAUUUAACCUUAAAGUAGCAAGCUAGUCAGCUUAGCAGUGAUGCUAGCUAGAUGGUUAGCAACUGUUUUUUUAAACGGUUAAAUCAAGAGAUAAAUUGAAUUGUGCGUGUCAAUAACUGUCAACGGUAACCCAGUGAGGCCAGGGGGAGUAAGAAGUGCCCCCUUAUUUGUGGAAAUGCACAUUUUCCUAAUUUAUUGCUCUCUUUACAACCAACAUUUUUUUUUUAUUUGCCGCAUUUAUUAUUUGUUUUCAGGCUUGCACUAUGUGGAUGGUCUUUGCACAUCUAACAUAAAGGCUGGCUGUGCAGAGUCUUCUUGGCCGAAAAUGUUGCAAGCAUUUAUUUCUCAGGUUUCCUGAAGAAGUGUGAAAUGUGCAUUUCCAUGAACUAAUCACAGAAAUUUAGAUUUUAAUUCAUUUUAAAAGGAGUAUAAAUAAGCAAUAACUAAAUCUUCUACCACAAACUUGUAUUGUGUAUUAUGUACAGUUUUUUAACAGUCAGUGGGAGUCUCAUUUCACAUGAAGUUUUUCUCCUGACAGGGGCUGGUCUUCAAUCAGACUCUGUUGGAGGAGAUCUUUUCUUCUUAUCUGAACAACCAACCAACAAAGCAACAAUAAAUGAAAAGGAAAAGGUGAGAUCCAUCGAUUGCAGUGAUAAGCCAGAUGCAAAGUAUAUUUGUAAUGUUAGGAACACAGAGUGAGAGUAGAAGACAUCAAGCUGAAUGUAAAAAGCAGUAGAGAACCCACUUUUGGUUCAGUUUUAUGACAAAAACAGAAACAGUCUUGGUAGUAUUUUGAUCCAUUGGGGCCAAAUAAAAAUCAGUAGCAUUACAAAAUAUUACAGUUGGGCUGGAUUUCAGGAUAAACUCACCCCUUCCUUCACCUCUACCCCACAAAGCAGGAGUGAGUCUAGAUUAUGUUGUAAAUGUCAAACUUAUUUAUAUUUUAUUGAUUCCCGAAAGUUUUAAUCUGGCCAAUGAAAGUGACAAAAGUUUGUGUUCAAGGGGAAAAAAUGACAAAACAAUGUGUCUCAAUCAGAAAAAUACAGGUAGGCAGCUAAACAGGACAGAACCAUUAUCGUCAAGAGUCACUGUGAAGUCAUUUUGUUCAAGCACUAAAUAUCCCUCGCUCUUCCCGCUCUUAUUUUGACCAGGCAAAGCUUGCAGUUCUGAGAACCAUCUCUAAAGUGCUGGAGGAGAACCAGCUCAUCAGACAGAGAGUGGCUGCCCUCAGCCAGACCAGCAGAGGCUCCACUGACUGACAGUUCCAUAAACAAAGCAGGCCACCUACUGGUGUUUAUUUAAGACAAUAACAUUGGUUUAUCUGUUCACAACAGUCAUGAGUAUUGGAUAGAUGUAUCUUCCUGAUCAAAAUGUGUAUAACGGUGGCAUUACACAAAAAGUCUCAGUUUUAUGGUUCCAACUGAUGCUUUGGUUAAAGACCUAGAAGGAUAUGUUGAAAAGUAUUUACCUUUUGUCUGAUUGACUGUGCUGUUGUUUUCAAAGAUUAUUUAUUAAAUUUACCAUGC